rnacentral:tRNA from 1 species
UAGAGUAGAGUGUAUAGGUAGCACGGAGAGUUUUGAUCUCUUUAGAUUAGGUUCAAUUCCUAUUAUUCUAG